ensembl:snRNA U2 U2 spliceosomal RNA
AUCACUGUCUGGCCUUUUGGCUAAGAUCAAGUGUAGUAUCUGUUCUCAUCAGUUUAGUAUCUGAUACAUCCUCUAUAUCCUGUCCUACAUCUGAGGAUAAUAUAUUAAAUGGAUUUUUGGAGUAGAGAGUUGGAAUGGGAGCUUGCUUCAUCCACGCCAUGCAUCGACCUGGUACUGUACCUCCAGGAAUGGUGCACCCCUC